AUUUUAUGUUAUAUUUGAAUUUGUAUUUUAAAAAUUUUAAAUUUAAUAUAAUAUAUUUUGAAAUAUUAAAAAAAGAAAUAAUUAUUUCAGGUUCAAAUUUUCGGGUUUGGAUUUCGGAUUUUUGGUCGAGUUCGGGUUUGGAUAUGAAUUUUUAAAAUCCGUUGGGUUCGAGUUCGGGUCUCGGGUUUGGAGUCGGUUCGGAUUAGGAUUUUUAAAAAUCCGCCCCGAAUCCGACCGGUUGACAUGUCACGCCCCGGAUUACACGUUCCUCGGGCACGCCGACAAAUCCGCCGUAUACAAAGAAAUUUUUUCUGUAUACGAAGCGAUAGCUGUAUCUGUAAAAAAUACAAGACUACAAACAAUAGUGUAGAGCUGAAAAGAAGUAAGCAGGUAGAACGAACCAAUCUUAUAUACAUACCAACAAACCAGUACAACAACACUCGCUCCAGCGAGUUCUAGUAUCAGUAUGUACAUAAGCUCAAAAUAAAAACACUGAUACCUGCAGCUGGGGAUCCUCUAGCACGGCGAUUCGUCGGGUAGGGCUCUAGCUCGCGACGCCCUUGCCUCGAUCAGUCCCAGAAGACGCAGCAGCCGGAACAGCAGGCUCUGCAAAACACAGGGUAACAACUGGGCGUGAGAACUACUGUAAAAACAAGUAGUCCUCAGUUGGUACCGCCCUCAACAUCAUCGGUCCACCCACUAAGACUACAGUCAGAAACAAACUAGUAGUUAAAGCUGGAAAGAAAUCUACAGCUACCUGCCACUACACUAUCCAACUGUAGUAACUGUCAAAUCUGACCCAAUCUCAAUAAGGACUGUGAACACACCCGUCCCGGGGACUGUGAACGCACCCGUCCCGCCUGUCUAAGCCACGCUACCUCUACGCAAAACAGUCCGUGGAUAGCAAAAUUAGUCAGUGAC
rnacentral:lncRNA from 1 species